rnacentral:tRNA from 1 species
UCCGGGGUCGUCUAAUGGCAGGACAGCGGAUUUUGGUUCCGCUUAUCGGGGUUCGAAUCCCUGCUCCGGAACCA